rnacentral:rRNA from 1 species
UGCUAAUCCUGUACGGGUGAGAACCCGUUAGGCGCAACGGGACGGAAAGACCCCGUGAAGCUUUACUGGAGCUUAAUAUUGAUCAAAACACCCCCCUGUAGAGAAUAGGUAGGGACCAUUGAUGCCAGUUCCCCAGGGUUUGUUGAUGUGAAAA